rnacentral:rRNA from 1 species
UACGAGGGGGGCAAGCGUUGUUCGGAUUCAUUGGGCGUAAAGGGUGCGUAGGCGGCGCGGUAAGUCGGGUGUGAAAUCUCGGGGCUUAACUCCGAAACUGCAUUCGAUACUACCGUGCUUGAAGACUGGAGAGGAGACUGGAAUUUACGGUGUAGCGGUGAAAUGCGUAGAUAUCGUAAGGAAGACCAGUGGCGAAGGCGGGUCUCUGGACAGUUCCUGACGCUGAGGCACGAAGGCCAGGGGAGCAAACGGG